ACGGGAUGCGCGGGCGGGCAGGCGGCGGUGGCGGCAGCGGCUGCGGCAGCUCCGGGAGUUGGAGGGACGGGGCCGGGCGGCCGGUGGCCGCCGCACUCGCCUGACCUGCGUGCCCCGCUGGCCGCGCCGGGCUGCCCCGAAGGAUGUCCGCCCAGUCCAAGGGGACCGCAUCCUCCUCCUCCUCGCCAUCCGAGGGGCCACCGGCAGCCUCCAAAGCCAGGGUGAAGGAGCAGAUCAAGAUCAUCGUGGAGGAUUUGGAAUUAGUCCUGGGGGAUCUGAAAGAUGUCGCCAAGGAACUUAAGGAGGUGGUUGACCAGAUUGACACACUGACAUGUGAUCUGCAGCUGGAGGAUGAGAUGACAGACAGUUCCAAAACAGACACCCUGAACAGCAGCUCCAGCAGCACAACAGCCUCCAGCCUGGAGAAGGUCAAGGUGCGGGGCAGCGCGCCCCUCAUCAAGCCCCCUGCGCACCCCUCUGCCAUCCUCACCGUGCUGCGGAAGCCGAACCCGCCCCCGCCUCCCCCCCGCCUGACGCCUGUCAAGUGUGGCGAGCCGCCCAGGCCUCCUCCUGCGGCCAACCCAGUCAAGACCAACGGCACCUUGCUGCGAAAUGGGGGCCUGCCCGUUGGGCCCGGCCGCAUCCCGAAUGGAGAUGCGUGCUGUGUACCGAACAGCAGCUUGGAGAAGGUGGUGAUGCAGCCGCUGGUGCACAGAGCUGAGAAGGAGCGGUGUCCCCAGGCCGGGGCGAGGGAGCGCGUUCGGUUCAGUGAGAAGGUGCAGUACCACGGCUAUUGCCCCGACUGUGACGUUCGGUACAACAUCAAGAACAGGGAGGUGCACUUGCACAGCGAGCCGGCCCGGGCUGCAGGAAAGCUGCCACCUCCUCCACCUCCAUUGCCUCCAUUUCUUCUGGAAAAUGGAGGGCUGGGGAUAAGUUCCAGUAAUAGCUUUCCUCCUCCAAGACCUGCAACUGUGCCUACACAAACUGCACCAAAACCCCAGAAAACCAUCUUGAGGAAAUCAACCACUACAACAGUGUGAAGUAUGCCCCUUGUAAUAACUCUUUGUUUUUUCCUAUAUAUAAGCAUAAAUAGGUAAUGAGCACUUUCUACUUGAGCAAUAAAAAGACCCAAUGUAUUACACCCUCUGUCCAGUGAAGUGGCAAAAAAAUCACAUGAAUGGGAAUAAAUUACAGCAGGAACCCAGAAGAAUUAAUUUCUGGGUAAAUUGAAUCCACCUAAAGGCAGGCAGCAGUGAAGUGUAAAGACAUGAUGAAGAGUGCAAAGGAUGAUUAGAAGGGCUGAAAAGGAGAGAACUUUGGAGAAGAUGGAUAAGCAGGAUUAAGAGGCAGUGAAAGGAAGGAUCACACUGAAAUGGAAAGCAGAGGAUGAAGUAGUGGUGCAGAAAAAAGAACAAAAGAAGAAUGCAAGAAUAACAAGCUAACCUAGAAAAUAUUCUAACUUCAUUAUCACUGUCUGACAUCCCACCUUAGAUUAGGUUUAAAGGCUGAACAAUGCCUAAUCUCUCAGGCUUUCUUCAUAGGAGAGGUUCUCCAGCCCUCCAACAACUUUCGUGUCCCUCCUCUGGACUCGCUGCAACAGGUGGACAUUAUAUGAGCUUAACUGGAACUACCUGCCUGAUUUGCAGUUUGGACUUGCACUAAGUUUGAAAGCUAUUUCCAGAACUGGAAGUGCCAGGACUAAGUGCUAAACCACAUAUGCCAGAUAACCAAAAGUAAUUUAGCUGAACUGAUAUUUUUGAUUUUCAUUAGACAAGGAAAAUUGCAUUUUUGAUCAUUGAAACAUUCAGUGAAACAGAAUGUAUGACUUGAAUCUUCCAAAGGUGUGAAUGUACUGGGAAUGAAAUGCUGCUGCUUUUUCCCCUUUUAGAUAAAAUAAAGCUAAAAAUGCCAGAUGAGUGUGCAUCAACUCUGUGCUAUCGUAUUCAUGGUAAUACUGAAGCAAACAGAUCCCACUCACCUUGGAGAGGUGAUCCUCACCUGGUCCUUCUCACCUGUAAAAGUUUUGACGGCCCCAAAGACUUUGAUCAUUUUCAGUUGUUAUUCUAUCCUUUUAUGCUUUAAUUGUUCAAAAUUGCAUACCAUUAAUUUUAUCUUUUCAAUCAAUGUUCUAAAAAUUCUAAGUAUUUUCUACAUAAAACUAUUUAUGAUAUGUUUGGACUGUAUAUAUUAAAUUUCAUUCAGUGUAGACACAUUCUGUUAUAAUAAACUCAUCAUACUGUUUUUCUGGAAACAAAAAUUUUUAUCCUGGAAAUUUAUUUGUGGGAUACCAUUCACUGCUUUAUUUGUUCCCCCAAAAUUACCUCUUGAAAGAAAAGAAUAUGAAGUAUUAGUGUUGCCUUUUGUACUCUGGAUUUAUGAUUUCGUGCAAAUACUCAUAGGUAGUGACAGCUUCUAUAUUUUAGAUGUAGUUGGAACCUAAUGAUAAAUCAGCUGCAAAUAUUAAAAACACAAUAUUGUUAUUUGUUUUGGUAUUUUUUCUUGUUAAGUUUUGGUGAGGGGUGGUGUUAUUGUUUUUGUUGCAUUUCAUUUAAUUGGCCAAAGGGGAGUUUUGUUUUGCUGGAAUUUGUUAUGUAGCAAUCUGUAAAAGUAUUGGACUGAUCUGGAGGCUGAUAAAUUAAUCCAUAGUUUCACACAUUUUUGCCAAAGUAUUUCUUGCUUCAGUUAAAUGUCCAACAAAGUGGAAUUGCAAUUGAUUGCCACAAAUCACAUAAAAAAUGUAAUUUAAUUUUCUAGUAUUUUCAAUUUGAAAUCCAUGCGUUCACCUGUGACACUAUAAUAUUUCAUGUUCAUGGUGAUCUGCUGUAAAUGUUGCUGAAGGUUGAAAGCCACAAAUAGGUGUGCUGCUCUGUUCUGUAAUUUCACAUCACACUUCAAAAAGGGAAGUUAGUGCUCUGUUUCAUUGUGAAAACCCUGUAGCAUCUGCAGUAGGUUUCUGCUUAUUACUUUUCACUGUUAAAUAGUCUGUGGCUGUGGAGCCUGGUUGGUUAUAGACCCGUAGCUAAAUUCAGCACCUGCAGAAAUAGGCAGAUUUCACCAGUUUAAGUAUAACCAUUUCUACAAAUAGGGUGUUUGAUCCAUUACAACUUUGAAAUCUUUAUUCAACUUUCCCACAUUGUAAGUCAUCCUUGCAUGUCUUGUAGUACAAGAAAAAGUUUCUCUGAGCUCUGGAACAUUCAUUACUGCAGAUUUCCUCAAGUUUGGAUACCACCUUUUAAAUUAAAUAGUUUAAAAGGGCAUUGCUUUUAAGUAUAUUUUAAUGCCUGUUUUUCCAAAAUUUUUAAAGUUUAACAUAAAUGCACCAUCUCUAGAAAAACAAUGAGUCCCAUUAAAUAUUAAAAUCCAUGUGAAAUGCUGUUGUUAAGUAGAAUUUCACACUGAGUUGGGCAAGAUAAUGCAAAGUUACAAUUCUAAAGUUAAGGUGAAGAUGAAUGACAAUGUAGAUGUUCACUCACAAAACUAAAAAAAAAAAUCUGUAUUUUAGAAUAAAAUAAAAAAUUUUCUUUAGAAAGGUUUAUUUACAGGAGAACAAAAAGAAGUUUUUACUGUCUUUGUUACGGAAGUCUUAGCUCUGUGCACAUUUAUAAAAUAUUGUUUCUUAAGAAUUGUUAUUACAUUUGGUUAACUUUUGAAAACUGUGGUGUUCAUAUUAUAGGGUCUGUCUGGAACAGCUUAGUUAGGAAAAGAACGCCUAAUCAUAUAAUUGAGGAACAGGGUAAUUAGAUUUUUAAAUAAUUAUGUAAUAAUUAAGUAUUUAUUGAAAGUAGCUGUAUUCAAAUGACAUAUAUUUCAAAAUUCUUGAAACAACAUAUUUAAAGUCUGCAUAAUAAAAUUUCAACUGUUUGUCUCUUUAAACAGAGACCUCCUAAACAGAGCUGGCAGAGCAAAUCAGAUAUUUCACUUUACAGAAAAUUUUUCAAGCCUGCAGCAUAAUUCCUGAGUUUGAAAUAUGUAAGUUUAAAAGCAUCUUGAAGAACCACAGAAAGAAGCUUCACUUCUUUGUUCUGCCUCAGUUGCUGGGCAGUGAUGGAGAGCUCAUUCCUGGGUAUGGCCUUUGGCAGCAAGUGCAUGAGGUGCCCUGCUGCUCUUUCCUGACAAAAUGUGCUGUGAUAAAUCUGUAACAGAUUAUCCUCCAGAAUUAAACCAGAUGCUGUCACUUUCCAGGAGUACACACAGAUUUGUAGUGAUCAAGUGGGCAGAUUUGCACUACAGAAAUUCCUAGGAUUAAUCCCAAGGAUAAAUUAAUAAAAUUCAUUCCAGCCCACCUGUACAGAUGAAGUAAUUUUUGAUAAAUUCAUAAACUUUAUUAUAUUGCUGUAUAAAAAUACUUUUCUUGCAAAGCUAAUCUGCAGUUACUAAUUUAUGCUGUUCUAGACCAUACUUAUUUCUUCAGGACAUGCAAUUCUCCAAGCAAUGUAGUAAGCAUCUGGAUUUGUAAAUUGAAAAGGCCUAUACUAUUCUGGAUACUAAAACUUAACUUCCAUUAGUAGGAUUAUCUUUGAUAUUCAUAGUUUUUAUGUAUAUUUUAUUAUGGUAUUUAACUUGUUAUAUUUAUUUUUAGGGUUUUUUUCUGGGUUUAAGGGUUUUUUUUAAUAUAUUUUCCUGUCAUAUUAAAAGAAAGAGGGGAGGAGAUACCAUCUAACUGGUAUUGCUUCCUAAUGCAGACUGGUAGAUAUUUCUUAGAUAUUUUCAUUUUAUAGAUUAAAUUCCUGUAUACCUGAAAAGUUUAACUUCUGUUAGACCAGACUGCCUGAAUCCCCAUUUAACCCACCCUUGAACAUUCCCAGUAUCUGAGAAUUUUUUACAAUUAUGUAUUCAAGCAUCAGCAGUGAGUUAUUUAUGAACAUUUCUUAUGCUGAGAACAACUAAGUGCUGAAGGCAGAGGCCCAGCAUGCCAUAGAAACAUGCAGAGUCCCUGGAAAGAUUUAAUUAUUUUUUUCUGGAAAGAUUCAAAUUUCUUUGGGACAAGGCCUAAAGUAACCUGUCCUAGCUCUAAACUCUGCUCUGAUAUGGACUGAACUCCACCUAUUCCUUCUGGUUUUUCUCUGAUCUUUUUAUCUCAAUUAGCUGAAUGGAGAUGACUAAAAUGAUCUAAUAAAAAUUGGCUCAGAAAGUUGAUGCCUGUUUCAUCAUCCCUCAACAUGUGGAGCAUCACUAAUAGGCAAAUAUUAAUAAUAAUGUCUAGUUUAAUAGUGAAAUUUGCUCCAGAAGAUAUGUUUGAGAUGAUUUCUAUGUAUUUUCUAAACCAUGGAUUAAAAAUGCUUUUGCUCAAAGGUCAAUGUACUGUGAAAAGUAGAUUUUAAUGCAUGUGUAUGCCAUGGGCUAUUUCAGACUUAGCAAGAUGUAGAAAACUAUAUUAGAAUUCUUUCAUGUAUGCAGUGGUUCUGGGUAGUUUGAUCUUAAUUUUCUUGAAUUAGUUGAAAAGUGGAAAAAACAUGAAGUGUAUGUGAGUCUGAAUUUCCUCAUAAAUUUGCAAACUUGCUUCAGUCUUACUGUGUUAAUACUGAGUAUUGUCUGAAGUCAUGUUUAGCACCAUUUUUCUCCUCCUUUAGGGAUAUCUGUUAUAAGUACAUGAGUCUGUCCAUUCAGGCUGUUCACUGAGCACUUUUCAUGGUUCAUUCAGCCAUUCCACCACCACAUAUAUUCUUAAUUUUGUUGCUUUGUGAACUGAAAUGAAAACACUGUGUUGCUGUGUUAUUAGUACAUUAUCACUGUUUAGACUUGGAGACAACAAAGGCAUUUAGGAUUUUCACUGGUUUUAGUUAGUGACACUCAGCUUCCUUCCUAGAGUUUUCCCACAGUAAUGUCUUUGAGCUCAGUCAUGUCUGUCUUUUUGGUCCUGAGCACAAGAAUGUGUCUGCUUUUGCUCCAGUAUUCAUUGAUAUUGUCAAUGAACUAUCCAAAGAUACUCUGGCCCACUGAAUUAAUUUAGUAGUAUGCAGAGUUAGUGUCUGGAUAUGGUGGUCUUUGGGAGACAAGUGCCAUAUAGAAAAUAACUUGGUCAAAAAAUAAUGCUUUUAUCUGGUUACUUUUUUUGCCUGAGAGAUAUAUUUCCUUUUUUGAAUUUACUACCAAAAGUUACAUAGAGGAUAACUUCGACGUAUUACUACAAAAAGUUUGAGCACGAUGUUUCUAAAAAAAACAAAACAAAACAAAACAAAACAAAAAAAAAAAACCCAAAACAAAACCAAAACAAAACAAAAAAAUCAAAAAACCCAAAAAAACCCCAAAAAACCAGAAAAACCCCAAACUUGAGUUUUGCCUGUGCCUCAGUUGGAAACUUUUGGAACAGAUAAAGUUAAAUUAUUGUUAUAGUCACCUCAUUUUUCUCAAUAGCAACUCAACAUUCCUCCAAAGUGUUUCACACUUAGAAUCACUUUGCAAAUAUUACCACUAUAUUCCAGCAGCAAUGUUAGACAUUGUUGUCUUGAAUAUCACCUGCAAUAAAGCAACCCAUGAUGCAGUUUGUUCUUUUGAGAGAUGAAAAUUACUGCAAUUUCUGAAAUAGCAGUAGAUCUUGUAAAAUAGUUUUUCAUGAAAGUAUUCAUUUACUAGAUCUUGUAAAAUAGUUUUUCAUGAAAGUAUUCAUUUACUUUGCACUUUCAUUUGCCUUGCAGAGAGAGAAAAUCACAACUGCAUAAAAUAAUCCCAUAGCUAGCUCAUAAAAUGUUCAGGCUAGAUGAAAGGUUGGGAAUGGUGGUGAUUAAAUUACUCUGGACAGCAGCUCAGGCACUUUACAUGUAGAGAUAAUGCAAAUAGGUGGCAAUUAUGUGGAAUUAGAACACUCAAUUGCUUUCCAAGUCUCUUACUGCAGUAAAUUGAUUGACAUUAAACCUAAUCUAGAUUGCUUCUCUAAUCUAGAUUCUCUCUUCAGGCAUUCAGUUACCUGGAAAAUUUAUCCAGCCUCUUCUGUUGCUCCUGUCUAGCUGGCUAGUGCUAUAGUUAUUUAUAAUAAUAAUUAGAUGUAGUUAUAAUAUUUAUAAUAACUAUAGUAGUUAGGUGAAGCAGUCAAUAAGAAUGCAAACUGUAGAGUCAAUGAUAUGAUGACUUUGGCUUGACUCCAUGAUAAAACUACUGUUUUUUGCUCUUUAGUUUCAUGAAGUAAAUUACAGUAACUCUGUUAGGACAUCAUAUGUGUCUGUGUGACAACUGGCAUAACUACGCUGUCUGUCCUUUCAUAUAUUUUUGGGCAUAUAUUUUUCAUAUAUUUUGUAUAGUAUUAGGUACUGUAGGUAUAGCAGGUUAUGGGGGCAGAUUGUGCCACUUGGGAGAACAGAAAGUGUACUGCAGAGCAAGACAUUUGAGCGUGUGGAAUGAAAAUUUUUGAACAGAUAUAGAACAUUUAACAUUGUGGCACUGGCAGACUUCAAGAAAUAGACAAUUAUUCAAUAAAAGAAAAGGUAAAGAAAUUAUUUUUUGAGGAUUGUUGACUUGUAGGAAGCUACCAAAUAACACUGAGUGUAGAGCAGGCCUUAAGGUACAUUCUGAUGAAAGGGAGACUUGUAAUUUCAUUUUGAUCAUUUUCAUUUUGACCCAGAAGACCCAAAUUGCCUUUUCCAAACAUUACCAUAGUCUAGGAGCUACUGAAACCUAACAUUGAAAAUUGAAAGAGCUUUUUGGGUCUUAAGCAUAUUCUCCUCACAAAUAUGCUGGGACAUCCACCUGAAAAUCGCAUCCCAUGUCAAGUUCUGAGAAAGUGUUUUUGCUUAUAAUUUCUCUGCUUAGUGGCCUCAGAUAGCUGUCAAAAUCCUUUUGGAUAGCACAGUAUUAGGAUAGAAAUGAGACAACAAGACUUUUUCAGUGUAAAAUGUGUUUCUUUGUUUAUAAUCCUUUUUCAUCUGGAUCCUCCCUGUGUCUGUAGUGAGUAAUUAAUUGCAGUCAUGCUGUCUCUUUGUCAAUGACUUGUACAUUAUUUUCUAAAAAAGUUGCAUAGUUUCAGCAAAAGCAAUGGGGGAAAAACUCAUACUCACAGUAAUUUGGAAUCAUGUUUGUCUUCUAAGUAGUAGAUGGGGUUAAAAUCCAUCUACAGGAGGGAAAGAAACAUUGCUUUUCGCACUACUAGAAGGAUAUUUUAACAUUUAAAAUCUGUUUUCAUGUCUAAGGUCUCUCCCUUUCUCUUCUGUGUGCAUUCUCUGGAUGGAUUAAAGGAAAAAAAAAGGACUCUUCAAGUGGAUUUGAUAUGGUCCUACACCAGAAGCUGACUUCUCACAAGCUACAGAGGAGGUGAAGUGUUCUGACUCUUUGACUUCCCUCCCCACAGUCCUUUGAGUAAAGCCAUAUUCUCUUGUGGAUGAGUGGAGUUACCUGACACUCAUUGCAGCAACAAAGGCUUGUGGAUGAGUGGAGUUACCUGACACUCAUUGCAGCAACAAAGGCAGCUGAGCCAACCGUUCUCUCCUGGAGGAAAUUCUGUCUUACCCCUUGACAAUCUGACAAUCUUUGUCAAUUUAAAUGGUUCAAGUAAGAAAUAUGAGGAAAUGUGAAUGAGGGCUACACUCACAAAGCUAAUGGCAAAGAAGUAAUCUUCCUUCUCUCUGAAGUAUGUAACUCUGGGUAUAAAUCAGCAAAAGUACGUGACAAAGUUGUUAUCUUUUCCUCCGGACGUGUGAAUUUAAUCCUUUAACCUGAAUUAGUGUCCUAGCUACCAACAGCACCUUCAGGCUUGAAGGAGUAUCUAUAUAUAUGGAGACCCACAAAUGUCGGUGCAAAUCCUUUUGCUGGUUGGUGCAAAUGCCCUUUGCUGGUCUAGGCGUGUUGGAAGAAACUCAGCUCUUCUGUGAAGCUGUUUUGCAAGCAAACCCCUAAGUGUGUAUUUCUGUAAGAUAACUUGGCUAAAUUAAUAUCUCUUCUCCACUGGGAUGCCUUCCUGUUUCCUUCUUUCCUUUCUGAUGAGGUCACCUUACCCUCUCCAUGGUACUUAUCUGAUCGCAUAAUUUGAUUCAGUUCAGAAGAAUAGAAAACUGACUUGGUAAGCAAUAAAGAAAAUGAAAUAUCUACUUUUGGUCUGAUUAUUUUAGUUUACUCUGUGUUCACAACAGUAACAAAGGCAGUCUCCUCCCAUGAACCCUUCAAAUCACUGGAGAAACCACCAGCUUUCUUCUGGUGAAAACUAGUUGUUCUCAUAUUUUUUUGUUGCAUAUAUCAUCAGUUCUUAUUCUCUACUUAUGCCAGCACUGAAUUAGUUUUCUCUCCUUUCCCAGCUGAUACUGUGACACAUAAUUCUUCUCUCACACACUUUGUUCUUUAUUUAUUUAGCAUACUGCUGCCCGGCAAAUCCUUGUCAGUUCUUUCCUUAUGUUUGGUUUUUAACCAUUUUAUAUAUUGAUAUUAUUUAAAACAUUAAUAUUUUGUCUGAAGUGAUGGAAGAAUGUGUCUGAGCAUGUAUGAAUAAAUCCAUUGAAGAUUUACACAAUUUCUGGCUAAAAACAGGUUCAGAUUAAUAUUAAAUAAAUCAAAGACUGAUUCAUUUUUAAAGUAGAUAAUUACUGAACUGUCAGAAGAGCUUGUGUUAGAAGUUUUGCAAAGCUUUGAGAAAAAAGAAGAGUAAAAUAUGAUAAAACUUGCUAUUACAAUAUGCAGACUUCAAAAAAUAACAGGCCGCAGCAGCUGAGCAAUGGGUUACUAAGAUUUCCAAAAAAUCUAGCUUAUGUUUCCUCACUGAACUAACCUGUAUUGACCCAGCAGUGUCUAGAAAAUAGCAUUUAAUUUAUUAUAAAGCUCUUCACUCUUUCAUUUUUGAUAAAGGAAAACUUCAUUUUUGAAAGCCAGACAUUAGUUGGUUGUCUGAUAGAGUUGAACAAAAAUUGCCAAGUGCACAGUGAGUGAUGCUGAGGGUGAACAGCAGGGAGAGGAUCCCAGAUAGGCCCCAGCACAUUCCCAGUUUGCUGUUUGCCAGGACACACAUCACACUGGCAUCCCCAGUGCCAUCCCCACAGGACCCUGUCUGUCCUGAGAGGGUGGCACACAGCCAGUACUUGUUAUAAAACUUCCCUCACCUGGGAGUGAGGAGACUUGUAAUGUGCAACCAGUUUCCCAAAAGCUGUUGGACUGUCCUGAUGCUGCCUGGAUUGCACAGCCUUUCUUUGUGUCUUGAUUUCCAUGGGCAGAGACCUGUAAAACACUGUCACAGUGUUUUGGAGGGCUGACUUCAAGGGGAUGGUAUCAACAGGUCUCCAAAUUGCUGGGAUUUUCAGCAUGUAAUCUUUCUCAGAAGCCUGCCUCUGUCUUCAUUUUUUUGUGGUGAGAGGGGAAGGACAGUUCAGUUCAGUAAGUGACUGAAAAAAACGCACACAGAUAAAACCCAAGAAAACAAUUGCCCACAUAAAUUUUUAUGUUCUCAUUAACUGGUAUGUCACACCACAGAGCUACCAAAGCUGUAAAAUCUAUGCAGGUUCAUUUGUUUAGAAUUCCAAAUGUAAAAUAAAACCUCACAUACUAUUUCAAUGAACAGCAUUCAAGAAAUGAAGGAAUAGACAAUUUGAAGCUGGUCUUGCAGAAACACCUCCAAUUUUAACACUUCGGGGAAUAUACCUGGUUUUGCCUUAGCUGCUUAAAUAUGUAGGAUUUUUUAACAAAAUUGCAUGGGUGUGUUUUGCUUGUGGGCAAAUAAACAGAGGUAUAAAAAAUUUUACUUAGGGUUGAAUCCUGACGGCAACUGUGUAUUCAGUUUUCCUAGAAACAAAAUUAAGUUAUCAUCACAUACAGGGAAUGGAGAGCUAUUCCACUGCAGAAAACUGUAUUGUGCCAAACUACAAACAAUUCUUUGAGCUGAAUCAUUGACCAAACAUAUUUCCUUGAGCUUUGUGAAUAACUAAACUUGCAGCUCAUUAACCAAACCAAGCCCAGCGAUAAUUGCAAAGAAUAUUUCUGAUUGACUUAAUUUGUUUCAAAUAUUUAUUUGAGAUCAAGCAAAACAUUUACAAAUAAUGAGUUAAAAAAAGUUCAGUUGCAAAGUGUAUAUAUAUGUUAUAUAUGUAUAUAUAUAACAUGUUAUAUAUAUAACAUAUAUGUAUAUAUACUCUAGAAGCUAAGUGAAAAUUCAGCUUUCCAUUUAAGUUUUUUUGCAAAUUAUAUCUUAGUAAUAUAUUUUAUCUUUAUCUUAGUAAUCUUAUUCACCAGACUUGGGUUUUGUGUACAAAUUUUUUGUAGUUCAGACUGUUAAUUUGUGAACUAUGCUACAUGUCCUUCCAGAGAUAUCUUGUUCUAAGUCUGUUGGCACUUUCUUGUUUUCAUGCUGAGAGAUUAGUAUUUUAAAUAUUUUUUACGUGAACUUUUCUCAUACCUGGCGAUCAUCACUUCUUUCCAUUUUGCAAUAAAUUUCUAUGCACCAAACCAUUCUCAUUUUCACAUUAAAACAGGUAAAACAUGGCAUUUCCUUAUUAAAACAGAACUUUAUGGGUGAAUAAUAAUCUGGCAUUUAACUUACAUUGAGGUCCUUUGGUUUCAUGUUUCUUAAAAAAUUUUCUUCAUACUACCUUCAGAGUAUCCAUUUUCCUCUUAUUGACUAGAUGCUAUAAGAAUUCAGACUAAAAUAAAACUGUGUAUAUAAAAGCUGGAACAGCCUGUGUGCUUGUAGAGCAAGAUAAUGGAUAACAUUUAUUAAGUAGACUGUAUGUAACGACACUGUAUCAGGAGACUGAUUUGAAUGGUCCAGAAAGCUGUCUUCCCUUUUAUAUACUAGAACUUUUCUGAACUUCUGUCUCUGAUUUUCCUUUCUGCUAUUUCUUUGCAAAUCUUUAUUUUUUCUUUUUGUUAUUCUCCUUUAUGCUUAAAAAUCUGCUCAGCUCAGAAACAUUUACAGAUUUCAUUGAAACAGCUUUCUGCAUCCAAAUUUCUUUAACAUCUUCAUUAAUGCUCUGCAAGAGGAUUAAGCUGUUUCAAACAAAUCUGUGACACUCAGCAUUCUGGCUUUAGUCUUUAUCCUCAUUUAUUGUGUUUUCUGACUAUAACAAAUGUUAUAGGGGUAUUUCAUGCAGCAAACAUUUCAUGAAGUCAGAAUAAUAGACUAAAAAGCAAAGCCCAUUUCCCUCAUGUCUGAGUAAAUUAUAUUAAUAUGAAAAUAUAAAAUAAUAAUUAAACUUACUUUCAAACAGGUAAGGAGGAUUAGCUUCCACGAAAGAACAGGGUAAAAACACACCAUGAAGAAAACAAACAAACAAGCAAUCCUGAAUAGCAAUUAGUUCUAGAAAAAUGCCCCUUCCCUCUCAUAUGGAGACACUGCAACCUCUGAAACUCCUAUUUUUUAGGCAUCUUGGGGUAAAUAUUGCUGUAGAACCUCAUAUUAUCUAACCAAAAAUGUAAUUCAGCUCAGCACUGCCAUAUCUGCCUAUAGAACUACAGGCCCUGUGAGCCACAUUAUUCAUGACAUUCUACUGGAAUUGAAUCUAAAAUGUUUUUUAAUGGAGUAAUUUACAAAAUCUAUUGCAACAUAACUGUGAUCUCAGCCAAUAUAUCCAAAAAGACACUCCCAAAGUCAACAAUCCCUCUCAAACAACUUACCUAGUUUAUCAUGAGGUGACAUAGUGAUUGAAAAUAUGGUGUGGCCUCCUAACUCCCAAAAAGAUAUUACUAAGGUGAGUAAAACUUAAUGAGCUGAAUUUCAGGAAAACACAUUCAUUUUCACAACACAUUAGCUACAUGAGACAGUUUUAUCCAAAUAAACAAAAAUGAUGAUGUUUGUAGUAAUAUCAUUUUUGCUUACAGUGAACUCUCGUUGUGCAAGGUAACUGAAGAAGUUACAGGACGCUUUGAGUGAUGACACUUACUUAAAUAAAAUAGUAAUGUUGAUUUUGGACUUUACACAGAAGAGCUCAAGGUUAUGUGUGAGAUCUCAUCUUCUUUAGAUGUACUAAAACACUCUGAAAGCAAUGGGUUAAAUUGCAUAUGCUUAUAAAUUAAUUCAGUUUUAAGAACGUGUAAUUUCCUUUAAACAACAGAAAUAUGAGAGAAAUCAGACCAUUAGGAGUGUUUCCUGAGUCUGUUAAGAGUAAGGUUCUGUUAUGUCAAAAUUCUGUCUAAACAAUAUACAGAGGAAAUUUCUUUUUGGCUUAACAUAUCUUUUAAAGACAUACACCACAGCAGCGCAAUUAACUCCUCUUUUUUUUUCCCCUCACAGCUAGCUCUAGUAGGAGCAUCAUCAAGAUAAAGAUAAAUUCACAUCCUGGAGUAAAAUUAAAGUAAGCUGAGAAAUCAGCCUUGAUAUUUAUCUAUACUAUUUAUUCUGCAUGGAAAUAAUAUCACAAGCAUUUAUUCCAAGAAGAUUGUAAUUUAAACCAGGUAAAGUGUGGAGAAAAAAAAAAUUAACAUGAAAUCCUCUUCCAGUUCUACCAAAUAGAGUGAAAACUGAGUCACUGAAUUACCUGGUUAUAACUAUAACCAGGGAAGGGAAAGAGUAGCCCAACUCUGCUCUUUUGUCCUAUUUCCCUACUCUUUCUCACAUAUGCACAUGUAUGUCUUGGUUAUGACAUUUGGUCUGCUCUCCUUGCAAAGAUAUAUCUUCACUUUGCCUGUUUCAUUAUCUGAUUAUCUGUGAAUAGCUGAGGUAUAUUAAAUUCACAUACACUGUAUGACCUUGCAUGAAAGAACUGAAUAUAAUUUUAGGUGUAAGUUCCCAAAAGAAAUAAAAAUAAAAAUCAGGGGAAGGAAACAUUAAGGCCCUGACAGUCAAAUCUUCAGUUGGGCCUAAUUUUCACUGAAAUAAUGAAAGUGAAUUGUGUGAGUAAAAAAAAGUCUAUGCAGCAUACCUACAAAAGUAUUACACUAUAAGGUAAGGUCUGAUGAAACUUGAAAAGUUGCACAAAAAUGUUUAAUACUCAUAGCCAUCCCUUAACUGUGAAAAGGCAAAAGUACUUUGGGUGUGAAUUCUCACAUCCAAAAAUAACUCAAACAAUUGGAGAAUUUUAUAUGUUGCUCAUCAGUAUGGGACAUAAAUUGAAUUUACUAAAUUGUCUUUUUUCUGACCUUUAGUCUUCUUACCCUCUCAAGAAGACCAAGCCAAGAAACUACAAACCAGAACCUUAUAUAAAUGAACUGGUAAAGACUUGACUGAAAAUAUAACACAGCUGUGUGUAUUUUUACACAUUCUAUUUUAUGGCAAUAGGAAGGAGGGUAACUGCUUGUAUUUUCAGGGCCAGUUAAGAAGAAGAGCUUCCUAAGAGAAAAUCUAGUGUAUUCCAGUCCAUUUAUUGUGAUUUAGCUUUUUAUGUAAUGAAAGAGGAUAUAAUUUCAGUAGAUUUAACACAUUAAUUCAGAAUCUUUGCUAAAUCUCCUGAAAUAUAGUCAACUGUUCUCUGGAUGUUCAUCUUUUUUGGUAAGGAAAAAGGUCUAAUUUCUCAGACUGUGGAAUGGGCAGAAGAAAUCCCCCUUGUUUUAGUGUGAGUUUGGAUUUUACAUAAUACUAAUAAUAAUAACGAAAGAAAUUUCGUAAACUAAGUAAACUACUAAGUGUAAAUUACUAAGUGUAAAAUGUUCAGCUCUCCAUAGUACUACUUAUAUUGCAAAACAAAAAUUGGCACAUCAUAGUUCGCUCACCAGACCAGAAACAGUAAAAUUCAGAAGUUUUGUUAGCUUUAUAACAGACAUAAAAACUCCAGUGUUAAUGUAAGUAAAAAUUAAAGAAAGCGAAAAUAACUUCAUUGUGUGCAAUUUGUGUUGUGCACUACCAGUGGUUAUAGCAAUGAAAUUAAAGAGAAAAACAUAAGUAAAUAAGUACCACAGCAAAAGCUUGUUAAUUUUCUUCUUAUUAGCUGAGGCUGAAGUACCAGGCUAGAUAAAGGUGCAGUUGUAAUUUAGUGCCUACAGGUGUAGAAAGGUUUGAGCAGAGAAGGCAAAAAGGCACAGAUUAUAGAUUAUACAGGUGGGCCACAGAACUGUGCAGACAUCUCAGCUACUGGGUGAGUGGAGAGCCUUGGUGAUGUCUAUGCUGUGAUCAACCUGGCCAUAUUUAUCCUCUGGGAGGAAACAGCUCCCAUGUGCCCAUCCUGCGACACUUAGCUGGAAAACACACUAAGUGAGCCAAAUUGGGCAGAUCAAGACUCACAACAUCAAUUGGCUCAGCUAAAUUAGUAUCUACAAACUGAAGUACAGCAAAGUGGGCCAAUGCUCUUCACAUUUCAGUAAAACAUCUAUUCCUUUCCAGUAUCUUGGAGGCUGAAUAAAAGCUGUUUAUUCAGAGAGGCCUUGAGGCUGACUUUAGUUUUUUACACUUGCAAAGCAAUGUCAAGAAGGCCAAUGGUUCUCUAGAGGCACAUUUCAAAAAAAAAAUUAAAAAAUAAUAAAAAAAGUCAGGAUUUAUGCACAGAAACCUUAUUAUUUAAAGUGCACGAUCUGCUCUAAAAGUCAUUGCACAAGAAGAGCACAGAGUAAGAGGACUUAAUAUUUAUUGUUUCAAAGAUGUUGAAUAUCAUCUGUAUCUAAGCAUCCAAAACAUCUUCCUACAACCAUAUAAGAUGCUUUCUUCCCUUCUUUUCUUGAUAAGAAAUGUGCAGCUGGACCUAAUAAAAAAAAUCACUGAUGAAAUGUCUGCCAAGAAAAUACUCAAGCAAUCUCUUCCUAUACUUCAUUUACAAGGCUGAACAAAAAGCCUUCAAAAGCAAUAUCUUCAUAUUUCUUCUGCCCAAGAUAACGAGCAAGUGUGAAUCUGCAUAUUUAUCAACAACAAAUGAAUGUAACACUUCAAAACUUUUUUUUUAAUAUAGAUCUGAUUUGAUUUUGUUUUAUUUGCAUUUUAUUCCUUUUAUGUGCUCAUCAACAGUUUGGGCUCAACAUCCCUAGGGAGUUCACAGAGAGGAAGAGUGCAAACUUUGGGUUAGGUAGAAGUCCUUCAGUUAUCAACUGAAGUGUUGAACUGAGUGUUCAAGAUACUUAGUAAGGACCUGGUUGUAGGCUGUGCAAUUGCAGUGAUGGUAGGUAAACAAAGAACUUUCCCACAUGGGUGUUAAGCACUGAUGUUAUAGAAACAGCAUGCCUGCAGCUUUUUGAGAGGAGAUAUCUAAAAAGCAGAAGUGAUAUAAUUUGAUUUUAAUUUGCUUCAGGCAUGCAUGAGACCACAUUGAAAUGUUAAAUCUGUGGCUGCAAAUUUACACUGAUAUAGGUCUUUCUUUUCAGAGAUAAGUUUGUUGGUUUUUUUUUUUCAGAGAGGUACCAAACGCAAGUAUGAGACAGUCAUGCAUCAAUGUAUAUUUGGGAAUCAAAGACAAAAAUUAUGGUGAGACUAACUUAAUUUGCAUGACCCAUAUAUAAUAUGAUGUCUCAUGAGAUUUGCACUAACAAACAGUGUAAAGAUUUGUCUGCUGGGUGAUUAUAUUUCCUUCACCUUACUCUGCUUUGAGUUUAUAUUAUGAAAAAUGGACUUAUGAAGAGAAAUUCUGCAAUUUAAAAGCUCAUGAAUUUGUGUGAAAAUGUGGAUACCCUAUGCUCUCUGACAUCUUUGGUCAACUUACACCAAUUGUAAGAACCUUUUGCUGUUAAGAAAAAAGUAAAAAAAUAAAUCUGCAUGACAAAUGUAGAAAUGGCUGAUGGAAGAGACAAUACCUUGGCUGAUGCAGAGCAAUAUUGGUACAAUACUGUUUGUCAAUUUUUAUUCCAUUAGUUUUCUACAAAGAACCCUUAGUAACAUGACUUUUGAUCUCAAUUUUAAAAAAUAUUGUCUCAGUUCAUUUAUUUUUUUUAUUUUCCUUCUUGUUUCUUUUCCAGUAGCAUCGUGCUUUGUAGAGUUAACAAUUUGGCUGUAGAAAUGGGGAGGCUUAUCUGCUUAAAUACAGCAGGAAGUUAGAGCUCACUAAUUUUGUGUGAAACUAACACCAGUUUCACCCUCUAGUUGUGUUCUGUGCCACACCAAUAAAAGAUUAAUUAGUAGUAGACAAUAUUAAUCAUAAGUGUUCUUUUGAUGUUAGGGAGAUGCGGUGCCUCUAUUGCAAAGACAAGUAAAUAAAACUUAAUCCAAAACCCAAUUAAGUUGACUGAAAUAUUCUUACAGGAUAUGUUGAAUUUCAUCUACUGCGUUACACCUGCUGAAUAAUCUCUUUUUUUGUUGUUGUUAAUGUUUAUCAAUGAAAAAUAAUGAUAAGGAAGAGUUAUUGAGCUACCUUUGUCUGAAUGUGAAUCUUGCGAAAGCACAAGCAUAGAAAAAAAUAACAUAUGGUUAUCUUGGAUUCCACAACCACUGCAUAAGCAGUAGUGAAAGUGCUAUAAAAUUUGCCUGGAAUAAAUAUGUAUUCUAAAUUCAUUUUAAAAUGAAUCACUGUGAAUAACCUAUUCGUUUAAGCAACUAAAAGAAUUUUAUUUGAGGUACAAAUAUGGUUAUAUAUUAUAUAUAUAUAUAUAUGUAUAUAUAGGUAGAUAAAAUAACAUUUUAUAGCUGCGAUGUUAAUAAAGCCAUAAAAGUGAAUCAGAGUUCAUUUGAGAUGGCUAUUUUUUGUCUUUUUCUUCUCAUAAAAAUCAAAAAGUAUCUGUGAAAAGCAACAGCUAUUAUUAUUCAGUGGAACUACCCAUUAUUACAACCCUCAAAAAUUUAUUUUUAACUAGAGUAGUAAAGUUUAGCAAUAUUUCUCUGCAAUCUUUUAAAAAUUUCUUUAUAAUAGGUGUGAAGUAUCUUCAUGUAGAAGAUACCUAAGAAUUUUGCCUCAUUCUACUUUAGAAGUUGUAUGCUUCCCAUAAAUCAUUAUCCUUAUAAAAACCCACAUCAUUACCACUCUGAGAAACACAGCAUUUUUAACAUCAGGAAUGAGUUCUCCAUAUUAUACAUCUGAAAAUGUACAAUCGGUAAAUGAAAAGGAAGGAAAAUUAUACAUUUCUACUAUUGUCAUUGUAGAGGAAAAUCCUUUUACUCUUUCAUGAAGUUGAUAAGAUUUUUCUGGGAGCAGGGAAAUUCUUUCCUGUUUCCUGCAUUCAUCAAACAGAAACAAGGAAAGAGUGUUAGUAUGAUAUUAAUAAAAAUAGUCAUAGAAACUUAAGAGAAAAAUGGAAGCUUAUAAAUGUAUAGAUAAAAUGAGAAAAAAAAUUGAAAGUGAUAAUUGAACAAAAAUAAAACUAUGUAAAAUUCACAGAAAAUUAUCACUGGUAUCUUUAAACUCCCUAUGGACUCUCAUGAUGGGAGAGUAAGAAUAAGAUCAGCAGUGCAGCAGCAGAAAUUAUAUAAGGGUUAAACACUGGGCAUUCUAGUAGUAAGAAUACUGAAACUUCAUGUAAAUAUUAUUACAUUUUUGUUAAAGCAAAUGAUAAGUCUCUAAUGAAUUUUUGAGUUCCUUCUUUUUCCAACAACAGCUCUAGCUGUUAAGGGACAAGGCAUGGCUCACAAAAUAGGUUGUGUGACAAGAUAUGUUACAUAAGCAUAUAAUGAAUGGCUCACUAUCUUUUUGCAUGCUUUCAAUUAUUUUUCCUUAAAGGUGACAGUGAUAAUGAAGAUAAAUAAGAUUUUUAUUUUUAGACAUGAGCAUUCAACAAUUUUCAAUUAGUUUUAGUAGGUGACACACAAAGGUGAAAUCAAGUCAAGAUUUCAGAUAUGAUUCUUGACUUCAAGGAGACUGGAUUAGUUAAUUUAUAAUGGAUCCUAUCCUGACCAAGUAUUUCCUACGUCUAAUCAGAAGCUGAAGACCAGAACUACACAAACACACACACAAACAAAAAGAAAAAUAAUACAGAGGGUGAUGUGUUCCUUGCAACUUUGGUCUCACCUCAGAAUGGAUCCCUUUGCCCUGACCUUAUGUCCAACUUUAUAAUUUGUUCACGGAAAACAGGGAAAUUUGCUGUAUCCAUAUCAAGUUCCAGCUGUUCACUGUUGUGCUUAAAAUUGAACACAACACUGAAGCAGGCCUGAUGAUUAAAAAUUUGGAGUCCAGUCAGGUCUUGAACUCGUUUUUUAGUUCUCCAAAACAAUGGAGAGAUUUUCAUUUAGACUGUUUAUAAUUCUCUUUUUAUUAAUAUAUUUUAAAAUGACAAUCAUGGAAAAUUUUGAUAGACUUGUUUGCCUUUAUUUCUAUGCAUCAUCAGAUGGUAAAGGAUUUAUAUGAUAUGACUUGCAGAAUAUAAAACCCUUUAUUUAAAGAAGAAUAUUUACAAGGUUAGAAAUUACCUUUUUUUCUUUCAACAGUCUUGUUACUUGUGUUGCUUAAGACAUUGUAUGAUUGAUUCUCGCUAUACUUAUUGCUUUAUAAGCACAGAAUAAUUACCUAAUAGUUUUGCUUGUGGAUCAUAUGGUUUUAACUCAUUUUGAAUUAAAAAAAAAAAAAAGAAGGGAAUUAUGGGACUGAAUUCAUGUCUGGAAGUCUAAGUAUUUUCUGAUACUUGUUCAUAGAAUCACAGAACAUCCCAGGUGGGAAGGGACCUCCAAAGGACUUCCAGCCCAGGCUUUUGUGGGAAUGGGAACCUAUAUGGAAAUAUCUACCGCCCUCUUUAAUUGCAUCUUGAAAUUCUUCAGGAAUAGGGACGUUACCCUGUACUGCAGGAACCAGAACUUGACACAGUGCCCCACGUCUGGCCUGACUGGCACUGAGUAGCAUGACCAUGUCUCUGCCACUAAUGAUCCUGCAGAUGCCCCCCAAGACAGAUUUGUCUUCGCUGCUGCAGCAGCACAAGGCUCACGCGCAGGCUGUGUCCACCAGGACCAUUAAAACAAGGCAGCUUCCUAUCCACACUGAUCAUAACAAAUGUUAAAAAACAUCAACUGGUGUUGAAAUCUGUUAAUUAUUAAGGGCUCCUUUCAUAGAGUCAUGGAAUCAUUUAGGUUAGAAAAGCAGUAAUAAUAAAAUAAUUGACUUCACUAACUUCACACUGUCAAGUCCACCAGGUGCCACCUCUACGUGCCUUUUAAAUACCUUCAGAGAUGGUGACUCAACCACUUCCCUGGGUGUUACAACCCACCCCUGAGGCGGCAUAACUGAGGUUCUUGUUAGUAGGUGCAUUUGAACAAUUACAGUGAAAUGACAUUGAUUGGUGUAUGUGUGUAUAUGUGUAUAUAUAUAUUGCAUGUUUAUUUUAGAACAAUUUGAUUGUAACGGAAAGGGGGUAUUGAACCUUUUUUUAUUAUCUGUAAAAAACCAGCAAUAUAAAAUAUAAAAAUAUCCUUUAAAGAAAUACACAAGUUAAAGAAAAGAAGAAACGGAAAACACAAGAGUAGAUAGUGGGGACAAAAAAUAUUGCUACCUGUGAACCCAGUGACAAGACCCAGUUAUUGUAAUUUUGAUGUUCAUUGAUUAAAGUGAUGGUUUCAGUCCUUGUCUGUCAGGGGUGGGGAGCCCCCAAAACAAAAAUUUCAAUUAGUUAAUACAUAUUCAGGUUCAGGUGGGAACACCAAGCACCUUCCCUGUGGGAAGAGUUUCAUGCUGUCUGUUGCAACACUAUGGAGCAUGCACAGUCCUCUGGCCAGAGAGUCAGAAAUUAGUCUGAGGGGUGCUUCAGGGUUGGUUUAUGACCCUUUCUAGGACAUAAGCAUUGUUUCUCAUGCCUGCAUAGUUGAGCCAGCUGUGCUUUACCAGAGGAGAUAAAUACCCUCUGGCUUACAUGUGAGUGUCCCAAUAUUUUUUUCCUACUCUAUGAAGCAAUGUUCUGAAAACCAAUAACCCAGACACUUUGUACAGCAGAGCUUCAGAAUAAAUUGCUGUAAGGUGAGAUUUAUUUCCAAAAUCUUGAUACUUAGUGAAUAAUUAAGAUUGACAUAGGAAUCAGUAUUGGUGCUCACAACCAUUUGUUCUUGGUUGGCAUUUUUCAGUGUUGUUAAUUUAUAUAGGAAAAAAUCCUUAAACAUAUUUUAUGAGUGAUCAGUCUCUGUGUACUAGAAAUUCUAGGCUUUUUGUUUGAAAAUAAUCUUCUUUUCCCUUAUACACUGUCCGAUUAAAUAUCCUCUGUAAUCAGCUUUAAAAAUGGCAUUGUCCUUAGCCUUCUCUUUAAAAAAAUAACUUUGAAUACACUUACUUACAAGCAACCACAGCAGUAAUCAAUCAAUCCCCCACAGGGGGAUUACAGUGUACACUGCUUUGUAAAUUUUUUUUUCAGUCACACAAAAGACAAUAUAAUCAUGAACAGUCACCGAGGGUUUACAAAGGACGUAUUUGACCAGCCUGGUUGUACUUUGUGACUCCUACACAUAGGCAGGAAGACAGUAGAUACCAUUACCUUAGUCUCCUUUGACACCAUUUUCAUGGCCCUCUCACUGGGGAAAAUAGAGGCUGGAGGAAUGGACUAUUGUUAGACUGGAAUGUAGUUGGUUACUAGGCUCAAAGGGUCAUUAUUAACUCCAUUAGUACUUGACUGGUUAGCACCCAAAUACACAUGGAAAUUUAUGCACAACCUCCUAACAGGGAUAGGACAGAUUGAAAGUUAUAAAUAUUUUUCUUGACACUACCAUGGCUUAUUUAAUCUGUGUUGGCUGUUAGUCUUCAGGUGGAAGUUUGGGCUAGGUGAUGUCCAAAAGAACCAAAGAACAUUUUUAUGAUCUUAUAAUUCUAUUAUCUAUGACUACUACACAGUGAAGAUUUCAGCAUUGUGAGUCAGAUGCACUUCCUCUAUUAUUCCUUUAUUAUCAUCAAUAUAAAGUACAAUCUCAAAAUAAAAAACUUCAAAGGUCAGUGUUCUGCUUAUAAAAUACUGAGAAAAACAUAUAAUUUAUUCUUUGUGAAAAAUAAAUCAACUACCCCAUGAAUUAACUUCCUUCAUCCUAAAACUCUAGAUCUACCAAAUUCAAGUAAAAUGUUUUAAAGUAAAACUUUAUUUAAUUUAUUUUAAGGUUUACUUCAUUUGCUUUGUUGUAGGGUUUCAGCCACUUUAGCUGUUAACUGAAUCUCCCCAUAAAAACUCCCCUCACCCCUUAGUCAGUAUAAAUAGCAACAGACUGUCUGAUAAGGAGCAGAAUGUUGUGAAGGAGGAACAAAAGGCUGAAUCACUAGAGGGUCCAUUAGAAUACUAAUGUACUUUACAGAUAAGGUUCAAAUAAGAACCCUUAAAAAAUUAGAUCCUGCCUAUCAUAGGAAAUAAUCGAAAGGUCUUAUCUGGAGUUUAUAGAGGGAUGUUUCCAUUGGUCUUGUGUGGAUUUUAGUUUUGAGGGGUUUGUUUGGGACAUUUUGUGGGUUUUGUUGUUGCUGUUGGUUUUGGUUUGUCUGGUUGUGGGGUUUUUUGGUGGGGUUUAUUUGGGUAUGUUUAAAAAAAAUUAUUUAUAAAAAUCAAUAGGCUAUGCUGCCUAGAACUCAUUGUAUAGAUAUAAAGAGUAAUUUUUUGCCAAGUGUCUUGCAAAAACUUUCUGAAGAUUUUGUGUCUUUUGCCUCACUGAAAACAAUGACAAAGGGUAUUCUUUCAGAAAGUAAUUUUCAAGAGUAGGACUGACUCAAACUCUCUAUCAAUGAAAGCAUCUAGUGUAUGGCUUGGUAACCUAUGGCAUUGUUUCAGGUAAAACAAUAGUCACCAUUAGCCUCAAAACCAUUGUCCCUUAUUUUUCAAUUUGGCUCUGCUACUGAAUAAAUAGGAGGAUCUAUUGUUCAUCCUAGAUAUAAAAUGGUGUUUGCAUUGGUCCCUUAGGCAUUUGUACUUAUGAAGAAGUGCAGAGGAAAGUCUAAAAUGAAAGCCUUCAGCAGCUUGAAAAUUAAACUGAGAUUUGCUGUUCAAGUUACCAAUAAGGAAUAUUGCAGGAAGGAAAUUAAUAUGCAUUAAACAUAGGACAUUCUCUGCUCUCAUGGAAAUAUUGCCUGCUUUAGCAGUGGGUAAUCUAACUAUCAUUCAUAUCUCAUGUACUUAUAAAAGAAGAAAUAAAUGAAAAAAAGAUGGCAAUGCUUUUGUAGAAGUAUGUAAUUCUGCUUAUUAGGAGGAAGAUGUCUACAGCUAAUUUGUGUUUACCAGAACAAACAGUUGCAGAUAUCGACAUAAGCACAGUGAAUUUCACAAUAACAACAAAAUCAUGUUUGGAAGGAAAUGUAAUAUUUUAUUAUAUUCAUUUAUUUUAAUUAAUUUUUGACAGAAGGUCACCAAUGCAAUUUAUAGUUUUCUAUUAUUUUCUGUUUGUCUUACUGCCUCUAUUUUAAGAAAAAUUAGUUUACCUUAACAGGGACUUUGUGCUGCCUAGAAUACAUUAACUGAGCAUUAGGUUGUAUUUCAGCAGUUGAAAUGGAGGGAAAUUACCUAUCUCUGUGCCAUAUUUAUCUUGUCAAGAAACCUUCUCAUAUUUUUACCUCUUAGUUUCAUUACUAUUUAUUUAUUUAUUUUAUUUAUUGUUUAUUUAUUUAACUUAGGAAGUGAUUGGAUUGUGAAAGACAAAUCAUACUGAGAAUCAGGAUUUUAGGGUGGACUUUGUUAUAAGAAUGAUACUAUUGUAAAUGAAACAUACUGUAGUAAUUGAAACUUUGAAGCAAUAUAUUAAGAUGAAGGAUCUGUUAAGCCUAGAUCUGGAGUAAAUGGAAGUAACAUUUAUCUUAACCAUUUGAUUAACCAUUGAUUUUGUCAGGCUUUAGAUUUAAAACCAGCAAGUUUUUACUUGACAGAAACAACUAUAAGAAAUCAUUCCAAGUGACAGAACUGAAGUGUUAGUUUAAGCCCUGCAACGCUACUGAUAUUCAGCAGCCUGUUUUUAAAAAUGUUGCAAUGCUGCUAGCACUAAUCUGAAACCUCCCUCAGCUGCUCUCUGACAUAAAACUUCCUGUGAAAAUCAAAGCUUCACACCACUUCAACACUUGUUGCACUUAUAGAGAAAAUUAAUAAUCGUAAAUUAUUUCAUGCUCUGGAAUAAAAUAGACUGAAUUUGGUUCUUUGGGUUUUUGGUUUUGCUUUUUUUUUUUUUUUUUUCUUUUUUUUUGGGGGGGUGUUAGGUUUAUUUUGGGGUCAGGGGUUUGUUUUGGUUUUUUGUGUUUGGGUAUUUGGGGGCUAUGUGUGGGUUCUUUUUUCUCUUUUAUUUUCUUAUUAUUUUCAAAAGGCACAAAGAAGCAGACCUUCCUAAUUUUGUUCAGUGCUCCCCUUGCCAUAAUGGACUAUGGAAAGACUAAAAGGUACGACAUUCUCUUUCAAUCAGUGUUAUAAAGUUUUUCUGAAUUGAUUCUAACCUUAACAUUACAAUUAUUACUACUGUUGCUACUAACUUGCUGUAUUUAAAGUCACUAAGAAUGGAACCAUUCCUAUCUCUUUCAGAUACAAUUUUGAAUUGACAAGUCUCCAAGUUGACUGAUCAAAACCUACCUGAAGCCUUUGUUUUCCUUUCAUUAUUAAAAUAUAUGCAAAGCAUAUGCUUUGGGGAAAUGAUACUUUAAUUUUCAAAGGUUUGUUCCUUUUAAUUAAGUGUAAUGCUAACCAGUACAUAUGCGUUAUAGUAAUUGAAUACUAUUGUUCUAUUGUAUAUUGUUGUCUAUACCUUCAUUUCAAUCAUACUAGUAAGGUCACUAUGUGAUCAGAAAAAAGGUCUUGGCUAAAUACACUCACAAAAAUACUGGUGUGUUUUUCUCCACACAGUGAGAACAUCAAACUCUCUUAAGGUAUCUGAGAGGUCUGCAUUAACACCAUUAACGAUAUGUAAACACCAUUAACGAUACACAUUAUGAGACAUUAAAAAAAAUACUUAAGGGCAUAGUGGAAAUAAAAGCUACACCUGAUUGUAACACAACUAUUUUUGCUAGCAAAAUAUAAAGCAUCAAAUAUGGGAAAAAUUUAUGGUACAGCUUGAGUCAUAAUAAGAAUUUGAUUUGGUAGAAUAUUGGAAUUCAUUACCACAUGAGAAUUGCCUUCCUUGGAGGUGAAGGGAGGAAGCAACUUCACGCUAACAAUAAGGGAGUUAAAUCAAUGGUUCAUGCAGAUGUGUGUGUGUGGCUGUGUCCAUAGUAGUGUAUGAAUGCAUACACACAUAUAUAAAUCUCCAGUGGUGUAUAUGCUUAAGUUUUUGCAAACCUACUAAGCUAAUGUGGUAAGGAAUUUUAUGAGAACUAUUUAUUUUCUUGUUUCUGUCUAACGCUUGCAGUUUCAAUAAGAUAAACAGAGGUAUAUGGGGUUCUUAUCAUUGAGAAUAAAUAUGGUAUAAUUGGAAAUUUAAAGUUUAUUUAUUAUCUUGUGUAUCAGAUAUCUGUUCAUAUCUCCAUUUGGAUAGAAUUAUUUGAGAUAGUAGUAACCCAGUUGCUGUGUUAGAAACUUUUAUUUGACUGUGUUGAUAAUUUUAGCAUCAAAUAAUAUCAAACACAUGUGCAUUCAAGUGAGUGACAGCAAUAUCAAGUGCUUCAUUUAAAACACCCUGCUAAUUAGAAAAUUGAUUGAUUAGAAAAUUGAUUCUUUUGCCAAUUUAAGAGAGCUUUACUGUUACAAAAAAGUUCAUCUUAAAGAAAAACAUAUUGUACGGCAAUAGGAAAUAAUUAUUAAAUUGUCAACAGUUCCUGUACUCUACCUAACAAGAACUUAAUAUAUGCAAUAUAUUGACAAUUAUAGCAUAUUAACAAUUAUAGCAACAUGAGACGAUUAUUGAUUUAACAAACUGAGAUUUGAAUGUUGCUUAAAAUGGGGAUGGGCAAAAAAUGAGUGAUAUACAUACAAACGUACAGAAAGUAAAACAUAUUUUUGAUAGUACACAACAAUUAAUUACAUUUUAAGAAAUAGUAAAAUGACAUUAAAACAUGCCUGAGAUUUGCCAGCAUGGAAAUAAAAGCAGAAAAUUACAGAUGAAAACUUGGAAUCUUCGACUUUUUGCAGGAACAUGUAGCCACAAUUCAACAAAAACCAAGAAAGAAAGAUGUCUAAAACCUCAUUCUAGUUCACUAGUAAUUUCCCUGUGUGAGAAUAAAUUUAUGAAGCUAAUUGGAAAAGCAAGCAAGAUAUGUAAUACUGUUGUAAAAUUCAUGUUGGUGAGAAAUUUCAUUAUCUAUUAAAAGGACGCAGGGAACAGCUGGCUGUAGUUGCUGCUAUGUUGCUAUUAAGGCUGCUUUAAAUUAUAUUGUGAUAAAAACAUUUUCCAUACCACUAGCAUGCACAUGUUUAAGGCAAUAAAGGCUAAAUUAAAAAAAAAAAAAAAAAAAAAAAAAAAAAGAAAAAAGCAUUUUUCUACAAGCAGAUCAGGAUGCUAACUUUAUCUGAAAAAUUGCCAAUUCAAAGGAGUCCUAAGUUUUAAAAGUUUAUAGGAUCUCGCUGGAGUUAACUUUCCCUUUAGCAAAUUUUAUAGUACUGUCAUUUGUUAUUUGCAACAAGAAUGCUGUGAAUGACACACCAGUAUUGGCCAACUACUGAGCUGUGCCUGCGCGGCAUCCAUUCCGUCUGUUGAAACCUUACCAAGGCUGGUAGGCUGGGUGUGGGAAAGAGACUUGGAGGGCACCAAAGGGAUAUUCCAUACCGUAUGGUGUUGAGGUCAGAAAAAAGACACAAGAAGAGACAAGGAGAGAGGGGGGUGUUUCUUAUUAAGGUGAUUAUCUUCAGAAGCAACUGCUACAUUUAUUGCAGCUCCACUUCCCAGGCUGGACAUCACCAGCUGAAUGGAAAUAGGCCAUACACCUUUCUGUUUUGUUUUGUUUCCAUGCAUGUAUUUUGCUUUUUCUCAUUCAACUACCCUUAUUGGUAUCCAUAUGGUUUUCACCUUAUUUUCUCUUCCACGUUCUGCUCAGGAGGGGCAGUUAGAAAAUGUCUUGGUGGACACUUGGUGCCCUUCCAAGGUUGUUGCCGUGCCCUCUGAGUGACCACUCAGUGCCUCCCUGCCAGCUCAGACACAGCGACCGCAGGGGACACUCUCCUGCACUCUGGAGUGCAGGAAGGCAGCUAAGGGUUAUGAGCAAUUUCCCAGAAGAGAUGCAGCCUACAGUGGCAAAGGAAAGGGAGUAGGCAGUUCAGAGGGUAUAAAUCCAAGGUUUAUUGGAAGCUCCAGGGAACCCAUUGCUUCAGGGGACACAACUCUGAAACGUCCCUGAUGAGCCUGGAUCAGCUUCUUUUAUUGGGGGGGUGGAAACAGGGGAGGGGUUCGCCUGUCCACCAAGGAAGGGAUAGAGGGGAGUGGAACAUGAGAUAACUGACAAACACAACAGCAUAUCAGGGAACUUAAAAGGAGGGACCACUGACCCUUGACCAAUCACUCAAUGCCCUUCGUGGAAGCUUUUAGAGAAAGGGGAUGGGGAGCCGAGUGAAAGACAGGGUGACAGGGAGGGGAUUUGAGCAUUGACAAGGAAAUUUCUAGGGAUUCGGGUGGAAUAGGGAUGGGAUUGACAUCUGGGGAAAGGGGAGGCAACCUAGGGCAAAACCACCAAAGGACGGGGGAAAACAGGAACAAGCCAAAGAACACAAUACAAAAACUAAACACAACGCAACACAGGGUGAACACACCACAGACCUUUCCUGGCACUCAGUGUGAGGCAGUUUUGAAUUUGUAAGUCUAAUAGUUAUUAAUUGGCAGACUUGUGAGAGGGUCACAGAGUUUAAUUGCUGCACUGCUCAGCUCUUUAUUUUGCUGAGGUUGGAAACACACUAAUAAAAACAAUGGCUAUGUGCCUGUCAUUGAUGUCUAACUGUGCUGGGGUAGCUUUGUUGUGGGCAGGAUAAGAGAACAUAUCCUGCUCCUAAUUCAGGAUUGAUGUGGGUAUUUUUGAUGCUCAGGUUCCUGAGGCCUGUGAUCACUUUUAGGUGAAUUGUUUGAUUUUGUUAACACUGUCAGCUUCUUGUCAGGUUCUUGAAUCCAAUGUCGUCGGGGAGAGAUGAAAGCAAAACAUGACACUAGGCAGGUGGUCCCUGUGUAGCAGAGUAUGUGGAAGUAUUUGGGUGGGUGUUUCAGGCAGUUAUCACCUCUCACAUAGAGUGGGAUUUGAUAUCUGAACCAAGCUAAUAACUUCAGUGAAUUCAUCCACCUAGAAAUACAUAGAAGAGUAUUGCCCUCUGCAAUAAAACCCAGCAGCUUCUAGCACCAUUUUGAAGCUUGGCCCAGGUCUAUUGAGCUACAGUUCAAUAUUAUUGGAGUGGGUGGUUACGAUAGAGACCCAGACUGUCUCUGAAGACAGGUAGACCAAGACAGUGAUCCAAACUACAACUAAGAACAUCAGUUGAGACAGGGACCCAAACCUGAACUACAGGUAGUGAAAAAAAUAGUACUGAAAAAAAAACCAGUGGGCAUGGAGGUGGAUGGAUCCAUACAAUAUAUGUCCUUUCCCGGGGACCAUGAAAUUAAAAAAAGAGGAAAUAAAAGAGAGAAUAUAAAGAGAAAAUAAAAAAUAUAUAAAGAGAAUAUAAAAAUAUAAAGAGAAAAUAAAAAAGAGGCAACCAUUUGCAGUCUCUGGGGGAUUUUUCUGUCAAGCAUGAAGGCAAGACAAAACAAUCAGCAGGACUUGCUCAGUCUUCAGUAAUCCCAUACGGCCAGUGAAAGAAAAAGAAAAGGGGAGAGCGAACCAGCCAAGGAACAGCAGUGAACCCCAGUGAGCAGUGCUGAGCCAUGAUGCAGUUAUCCCAAAAUCUACCCACAGAACCAGAGACCGUUGGUUGAGUCCAAACUUUCUUUGCCACUUUUUGGUGGAGACCUUUUCGUGACCUGGUUGGAGAGCCCAUCCAGAGCGCCUCCUACUGCCUGCCCCAUUUGAGGUGCUGCCAGGCGAAGUCCCCCUGGAGACGAGGCUUCCCCGCUCCUGGCUGCCCACUGCAAGUGGCACCGGCGCAGGCCCUAUCCCCUCAUGUCUUUGACAGCCCUGACAGCCAAGGCUGAGGCAAACUAAAGUGGCUGAGUCAAAACUAGAUGGGCUCCUAACAUAUGGCUAAGUGCUGUUGUGCCACACACACCAGAGCUUUAACAGGAUGUCUGCCAAGUUGUAUGCUACAAUUCAUGCUGUCUAUAUGUUUUUCGAAAUUCCUUUGGCAGCUGAGUGUAAGCUAUUAUUUGCUUUCACACGAAGCAGUAUCUGAUGCACCUGGAACUAGCUGUCCGAGGGGUUUAAGCACAAUCCCACCACUUGCCAUGGAACAAUUCAACCUGAACUGGAACAGAAGAGUCAAAACAGCAAAAGGAAAACACUCAACAAAACCCACCAGUUCAUUAAUCUGCUCUUACUUUUUUACGAUCUGACUUCAAAAAUGUCAUAGACAUCAGGCUUUUGUCAGGAUCUUAAAGGUUACUACCCAUUUAUCCAAAAAGGAUAUUCAUAUGUUGUGCUGGUCUUAGCUGGGAUAGCGUUGACUUUCUUCACAGAAGCUGGUAUGGAUCUCUGUUCUGGAUUUGUUCUGGAAACAGUGUUCAUAGUUCAGGAUUUUUGUUACUGCUGAGCAUUGCUUAUAUGACAACACACAACUUUUUUCGCUUUUAUUCUUUUGAUUUUCUUCCCAUCCCACUGAGGGUGCAUGAGUAAGCAGCUGUGAGAGCCUUGGUUGCUGGCCAUGACAGACAUACCUACAAAAAAGUUCAGUGUGACAGAAGAAGCAGGCACAGAGAUCUGAGCAAGGUUGUUAUGCUGCUUUCUCAUAGCCUGAGAUAGCACAAUUGGUUUUUCACAGCACUUCAAAAAGCAGGUAGCUAUAAUGGAUAAUUCAAUACUGUGGGUUUCAGUUAUGCCUCUUUCUUCAUUUAAUCUUAGUAAUAUUAGUUGUUAUAAAUGUGUUGACACAUGUUGCCAAUGAUUUAUGAAACUAAGAUAUAACAGAUGAAAUUCUGUGUGUAUAAACAUUACAUCAAGUGAAAUCAUGCAGUUUGAAGUAAGAAUUGGAAUUAAAAAAACAUACUAAAAAAUGAAUAUGUAAAAAAGUAAGUAUCUUUUUAUGUUACCUUUCCUACACCCAAGUUUUAAUCUUCCAUAGAAGCUUCUUAUACAGUAGCUCCUAGCUAUUCUGUGAGGCAGUCCAGUAGGAAACGAGUAAGAUUUAUUUCCAAAUUUGCUGGUUUAAGAUUCCAGUAUUCAUUAAUGUCUGGAGUUCAAGCAGACCAAGAGAGCAUCUAUUAAUCAUUCUUUAUAGGAGUUUUGGGCUUACAUGGCCUGGGUUUUGGUAUCAGGGGUUCACAGAGGUGGCUUCUGUGAGAAGCUUCUGGAUCCUUCCACCAUGCCAAAUCCUGGUGCUUCCAUAGAUGUACAUGCUGCUGGCCAAGGCUAUGCCAAUUAGAGAUGGUGAUAAUGCCUCUUUGAUAACAGAUUUAAGAAGAAAUCAAAACAAAAAUUUUUGUGCAGUUUUAUUAUCCAGAAAAGAGCGGAGUGAGAACAUGUCAGAUGGAGAACUUUGCAGACACCAAGGUCAGUGUAUAAGAAGGGGAAGGAGGUGCUCCAGAUGCCAGAGCUGAGAUUCCUCUGCAGCUCAUGCCGGUGAAGCAGCUGUGCCACUGUAGCCUGUGGAAAAUCAUAAGGAUGCAGAUCCACCUGCAGUCUAGGGAGGAGCACGACACUGGAGCAGGGGAUGACUGGAGGAGGCUGUGAUCAUGUGGGAAACCUGUGGAGAGAGAGGAGUCCUGUUCCCAUGCUGUUACAGCCUGUAUUUAGAGGACUGCACCCCAUGGAAGAGUGACCCAUGCUGCAGCAGUUUUGGGAGGGCUGUUGUCUGUGGGAUGGAUUCAUAUUGCAGCGGUUCUCAGAGAGCUGCUGUUCUUGAGAUGGAUUCACAUUGAAGAACUGUCUCCCAUGGGAGGGACUGCACAGUGCAGGAGGGGAAGAACUCCUCUCCCUGAGUGAACAACAUUCACUCUCUCUUUGUGCCACUGGGGUAGGAGGUACAGCUGGAAAGAGGGAAGGGUAGAGGCUUUUUGAGGUUUAUUUUACUUCUCAUUACCUUGCUCUGAUUUUGUUAGUAGUAGAUUCACUUCAUGUCUCUAAGUUGACCUUGUUCUGCCCUUAAUGGUAUUUGGUGAGUGAUCUUUCUUAUCUCAACCCAAGAACCCUUAAUUAAAUUUACUCUCCUCUGUUUAGAGGGAAGUGAGAGAGCAAUUUUCAUGGGUGCCUGGCAUCCAGCUAGUGUCAACCCAUAACAACAGGGUCGAGAAGCCAGUGGUCCCUUUUGUUGUACUGACUUAGGGCAUACUAAUCUGGAAUGUACUAGAGGAGUAUCUGACCACUCUAGUAGGAGUUUCUUCUUUAUCAUGAAGUUUUUUCAGAGGUAUGCAGCAGUGUAUGACUUCGCAUGGCAAGGUUUUGAUAGUGGGGCGGCUAUAGGGUUAGAUACUCUGGGAAGAUGCUGGAAGCUUUUCCCAUGUCUGAUGGAGCCAGUGACAGUUCUCCAAGAUGGACCCACUGCUGGCCAAGGCUGAGCCCAUCAGAUAUGGUGGCAGAGCCUCCGGGAUAAAAUAAGAAGUGAAAAAAAUUAUUACACAAAAGUUAUCUCAACAAGCGAAUAGUGGAGUAAUCAGAUGCGAGACAAACAGCCCUGCAGAUACGAAGGUCAGUGGAGAAGGAGGGUGAGAAUGUGCUCUAGGCACCAGAGCUAUCCCACUGCAGUCCUUGGAAAAGACUUGGGGAUCCAUUGUUGUCUCCCUUCUGCCUAUGCAGUUCCAUGGCAGACCAGAGAUCCACCUGCAGCCUGUGGAAGACCCCACUCUGUAUAUACCCCACAGAAGGGAUCCAAGAUGGAGCAGCUGGUGAAAAGCUGCAGCCCGUGGGAAGUACUCACAUAGGAGAAGUUCAUGGAGGACUCUCUCCCAUGGGAGAAACCCAGUGCUGGAGCAAGGUAGGAAUGAGGGAGUCCUACAAAUGAUGGGGAGGGGGAAGUAGAGGCAGUAUGUGAAGAAGUGAUUGAAGUCCCCAUUCUCCAUCCCUUCAUGCUACUGGGAGGAGAAAAUAGAAAAUCAGGAAUAAAGUUGAGCCCAGGAAGGAGGGAAGGAUUAAGACAAAGUGUUUCUAAGAUAUAUUUCCUUAUUAUCCUCUUCUGAUCUGAUUGAAAAUAAAUUAAUUUCCACAAGUUUGGAGGGUCUGUUUUGCCCAUGAUAUUAAUUUGUGAGUGGUUUCUCUCUGUCUUUAUCUCAGCCCAUGAGUAUUUUGUUGUAUAUUCUCUCACCUAUCCACUGAGGAGAGGAGUGUUAGGGCAUCUUUGGUGGGCACCAGACAUCCAGACAAAUUCAAACCAGCACAAAAUUAUAGAAGACUAAUGUAUACUAAGAAUCAAUUUUAAAAAAUCUAUUUUCUUGCUGUCAUUCAACUAGUCAAGCACAUUUUUUUUUUUUAUUAAGAGAAUCCAUCAAAAAGUCUGCCUAUUAAUGUGUCUGAGUCAUGACUGUAAAUGUGUCAUGAUUGUAGGGGUGCUACUAAGCUGAAGUGGAAGAGAUUCUGCCUUAGAUUAUUUAUUCAAUAUUCUAUUAUUCUUUAUUUAUUUUGACAUACACUCCAAAUUUAGAAUCAAUUCAUAUGCUUUUAAAGUGUAAAUAUUAGAGUCUCUCAAUGUUGUAUGACUAAAAUGGGAAAAUUUGACAUUUUACAACUUUGGAAAGGAUUAAAUUUUGAUGUAUCCAUUAUUUCUCUUGAGGUAAUGUUUUAGGAGUUCUUGAUAAGCCCAUAUUUAGGAAUUUCUUUUUUGUGUAUGUGCAAGUGGAUUUCUUUACAGUCCUAACAACUUCGGCACAUUGCAUGUGAAGGAUUUUCCAUGUAACUGCUUCCUAGAAAAGCAAUUCACUCAAUACUGAGUCUGAGCUAAGAAACCAGCCUCAGCAUGAUAGUGAGGGUUUGGUGAGACUCUUGAGUUAAAUUUUGAGGGUUUUCUUGAGAGGAGGAGUAUCUUGGAUGACUAAUGGAACAAAGAAGGGGCCUGUGACACAGUCCAGAUUUGUGACUAGGCUUGCAUUCACAAAUUGCCAACCUUGUAAUGCAACCUUUUCAUUAUAUGCUUUUAAAAAAUAGUAUAAUAAUACAGAUCAUUUAUGUUACACUCACAAACUUUGAAAGAAGUAAAGAAAUCUUACCUGAAUAUAAUUUAUUUCUGGGAUUCUAACUCAUUAGCAUUGCAACUACAUAUUAGGAAAUUAUGACCUAGAGAUAUACUAACAAUAGUAUCAAUCUUGGCUUCCUGAAACAAGAGUUGAAACUGUCCUUUUUCUGAACAGAUUUCGUCCAAUGUCUAUGUUUUUUUUUCUUUGGGACUUCUUUUUUCUACUUAAGCAUUCUAUUUCUACAAACUGCUAUGUCCCUGAGAGGGAAAAAAUAUGUAAUUUCAACAUAUGCAAGCAAUAACUUAUAAAAGAAAUUAUCAGUCAUGAAAUAGUGCAAUUUGUGAGUAUAAUGAAUCAGUCAUACAGAAAUUACUAUAUAAAAUGGUUUUAAAAAUUAUAGAACAAAAUAAGUAAAUGCUGGGCCAUGAAGUAUUGGGUAAUCUCUUCAGACAUGCAUAAACACAUUAUCCCUGGUCAUAGCCAAGCAUGAUUCAUGGUAAAAGUCUUAAUCCAGAUUUCCAGGGAAUGGUUAUUUGACUCAUGCUCCUGUAAACAAAACAAAAAUACAAACUGAAUAAGUAGUAAGAAAUAAUUCAAAGUGCUAAAAAAGAACCUCAGUUCAUAUUACCGUCGUUUUUAAAAGCUUAUAUUUUGCUGUAUUCAAAUGGUUCAUAAAAAUGCAUGUUUUGAGGAAGCAAGUCAUACAGAUUUUCUUAUGAGCUGAAUCACAGAAAAAGUGUAUUUGAAAUAUUUUGGUCUUAUACAUGCAUUGUUUCCAUUCUUGCAGGAGAACAACUGGAGAUCAACAUGUUUUACAGGAGAUCAACAUAUUUUAAGAUUUUUCCUCUCUAAGUAUUCUCUUUUUUUGUGUCAAUAUAAACAUUAUUAAUUGGCUGUAACUUUUAAAGUUGUAAAUAAAAGUACACAAAUCAUUCUUUUUCA